UUCUAGUCUGAGGCAUUGGGAUACAUGGUGCUAGGUUCUGAGACUCUGCGUCAGGCCUGAACCCUGCAUUUUGUGGAGGUGGGUGGGAGAAUGUUCCCCUGGGGAACAUGCCUAGACACGGGGGACAACAGUUGCCCUCAUGGGGAGGUACCUGUUUACUCGCUGUUAUGGGACCGCUUUCACAAAACCACUGCAGGUGAGUGAGUUCCUGCUGAAUAUCAGGCCUGGUGUCUCUAGACUCAUUAUUUCCCCCACCCAACCCCUAUGUUAGUUCAUCUCGAGCCACAUUUUUAUUGCCAUAAUCCAGGCCUGGACAGGCCAAGAUCUUUUAACAAUUUUAAUUACUGAAAAUAAUAACUGCAUUUUUUUUAAAGCCCAACUUUUGGUAGAGUCAGCCCAAAAUACAGUCUUUGUGUUGCCAUCUGGGAACUGGAUUUGGAAUUGUUCUUCCAUGAGACUGCAGAGCAGAACGGCAGGGCCAGAGGUCCCACGAGCUGGUCAGACCCGGUUCUGCUCCUUGCUGGCUGAGUGACCUUGGGCAUUGUGAUUCAUAUUCUCAUCUGCCUUCAAGUGUGGUUACGAAUGCUUUUUAUCCUGC
rnacentral:lncRNA from 10 species